GCCUCUGUAGCUCAGUGGCAGAACACUGGUCUUGUAAACCAGGGGUCUUUAGUUCAGUCCUCACGUGCAGUCA